CAAAUUGGAUCAGAAAUCCAAAAACAGGAAAUAAACAAUUAGGAUUACAAUGAUGGUGACAAUUUCAAGUUGGCAAUUACAAACAAAACAGUGAAAUGUACAUGAUGUAGCAAAAGUAUAGAAUUUCUUUCUCAGCUCCAUUAAAUUUGUACAGCACAAUCUUCUGCAUAUUACCCUCUACUUUACAGUGUUGCAAAAGCAAAAGUGGAGAAGAGUCCAUCCCAUACAAAUCCAGCUCUUGUCGCAUCUAUCAUAUUUGUCAUGAUCUGAAAUAAACGGAUGCUUCCAGAACUUAUGAGAAUGCUUAAAUUUGAGAUUGAUGAUCAUGAGAAAGACUGUCCUCACUCUUCAAUGCACUUGGGAGAUGUCCCAUAACAGUAUGAAGACAGUGAAACCAUAAGACUUGGCGUCUACCAUAUU
rnacentral:misc_RNA from 1 species